rnacentral:rRNA from 1 species
AUGCCCCUCCUCUUUCCCGCUCCUUCUUCGAAUCUGGUCGCCGAAGUGCUCGAGGAGGCGCUCGACUCGGCAUGCUCGCCGGCGACGCCGGGGCCCCUCCCUCCUCCUGGUGCCCUCACUGUUGCUGCCAUGAGCCUCUCCACCCUCUCCCGCGCGAUGGUCCGGGUCCAGAUGAUUGGAGCUGAUGCCGAUCCUAUCGAGAUCCGAGUGCCGAGAACGAGAGCCUCCUCCAUCUUCCCCUCCUCACCAAGGAGGCAAGGCAUUUCACCCUCGGUCUACAACAACAAGGACGAGUUCGAUGCCACGAACAACAACUCUGACGCCAAGAUGCAAGCUAAAAUGGAGGAGAUCAAAGCCCUCAUCAAGUCCUACAAGCAAUCUUCCUCAUCUUCGAGAAGACACUCAAGAGCACAUUCUUCCGAGUUACCAUCUACGGAAAGAUCACAUCGGCAUUGA